UACGAAGGUGGCAAGCGUUACUCGGAAUUACUAGGCGUAAAGGGCAGGUAGGCGGUUUGGUAAGUCUGUUGUGGAAGCUCCCGGCUUAACCGGGAGAGGUCAACGGAAACUACCAGGCUUGAGUAUAGGAGAGGUUACUGGAAUUCCCGGUGUAGCGGUGAAAUGCGCAGAUAUCGGGAGGAACACCAAUGGCGAAAGCAGGUAACUGGACUAUUACUGACACUAAGCUGCGAAAGCUAGGGGAGCAAAC
rnacentral:rRNA from 1 species